UUAAGCGACUAAGCGUACACGGUGGAUGCCCUGGCAGUCAGAGGCGAUGAAGGACGUGCUAAUCUGCGAUAAGCGUCGGUAAGGUGAUAUGAACCGUUAUAACCGGCGAUUUCCGAAUGGGGAAACCCAGUGUGUUUCGACACACUAUCAUUAACUGAAUCCAUAGGUUAAUGAGGCGAACCGGGGGAACUGAAACAUCUAAGUACCCCGAGGAAAAGAAAUCAACCGAGAUUCCCCCAGUAGCGGCGAGCGAACGGGGAGGAGCCCAGAGCCUGAAUCAGUGUGUGUGUUAGUGGAAGCGUCUGGAAAGGCGCGCGAUACAGGGUGACAGCCCCGUACACAAAAAUGCACAUGCUGUGAGCUCGAUGAGUAGGGCGGGACACGUGGUAUCCUGUCUGAAUAUGGGGGGACCAUCCUCCAAGGCUAAAUACUCCUGACUGACCGAUAGUGAACCAGUACCGUGAGGGAAAGGCGAAAAGAACCCCGGCGAGGGGAGUGAAAAAGAACCUGAAACCGUGUACGUACAAGCAGUGGGAGCCUCUUAAUGGGGUGACUGCGUACCUUUUGUAUAAUGGGUCAGCGACUUAUAUUCUGUAGCAAGGUUAACCGAAUAGGGGAGCCGAAGGGAAACCGAGUCUUAACUGGGCGUUAAGUUGCAGGGUAUAGACCCGAAACCCGGUGAUCUAGCCAUGGGCAGGUUGAAGGUUGGGUAACACUAACUGGAGGACCGAACCGACUAAUGUUGAAAAAUUAGCGGAUGACUUGUGGCUGGGGGUGAAAGGCCAAUCAAACCGGGAGAUAGCUGGUUCUCCCCGAAAGCUAUUUAGGUAGCGCCUCGUGAAUUCAUCUCCGGGGGUAGAGCACUGUUUCGGCAAGGGGGUCAUCCCGACUUACCAACCCGAUGCAAACUGCGAAUACCGGAGAAUGUUAUCACGGGAGACACACGGCGGGUGCUAACGUCCGUCGUGAAGAGGGAAACAACCCAGACCGCCAGCUAAGGUCCCAAAGUCAUGGUUAAGUGGGAAACGAUGUGGGAAGGCCCAGACAGCCAGGAUGUUGGCUUAGAAGCAGCCAUCAUUUAAAGAAAGCGUAAUAGCUCACUGGUCGAGUCGGCCUGCGCGGAAGAUGUAACGGGGCUAAACCAUGCACCGAAGCUGCGGCAGCGACGCUUAUGCGUUGUUGGGUAGGGGAGCGUUCUGUAAGCCUGUGAAGGUGUGCUGUGAGGCAUGCUGGAGGUAUCAGAAGUGCGAAUGCUGACAUAAGUAACGAUAAAGCGGGUGAAAAGCCCGCUCGCCGGAAGACCAAGGGUUCCUGUCCAACGUUAAUCGGGGCAGGGUGAGUCGACCCCUAAGGCGAGGCCGAAAGGCGUAGUCGAUGGGAAACAGGUUAAUAUUCCUGUACUUGGUGUUACUGCGAAGGGGGGACGGAGAAGGCUAUGUUGGCCGGGCGACGGUUGUCCCGGUUUAAGCGUGUAGGCUGGUUUUCCAGGCAAAUCCGGAAAAUCAAGGCUGAGGCGUGAUGACGAGGCACUACGGUGCUGAAGCAACAAAUGCCCUGCUUCCAGGAAAAGCCUCUAAGCAUCAGGUAACAUCAAAUCGUACCCCAAACCGACACAGGUGGUCAGGUAGAGAAUACCAAGGCGCUUGAGAGAACUCGGGUGAAGGAACUAGGCAAAAUGGUGCCGUAACUUCGGGAGAAGGCACGCUGAUAUGUAGGUGAAGCGACUUGCUCGUGGAGCUGAAAUCAGUCGAAGAUACCAGCUGGCUGCAACUGUUUAUUAAAAACACAGCACUGUGCAAACACGAAAGUGGACGUAUACGGUGUGACGCCUGCCCGGUGCCGGAAGGUUAAUUGAUGGGGUUAGCGGCAACGCGAAGCUCUUGAUCGAAGCCCCGGUAAACGGCGGCCGUAACUAUAACGGUCCUAAGGUAGCGAAAUUCCUUGUCGGGUAAGUUCCGACCUGCACGAAUGGCGUA
rnacentral:rRNA from 1 species